rnacentral:rRNA from 1 species
GUCGAACGGAGCCUUAACCAAAGAAGCAGCCAGCUUGCUGGAAGCGGAAAAGGGAAAGGCUUAGUGGCGGACGGGUGAGUAACGCGUGGGUAACCUGGCCCAUACAGGGGGAUAACACUUAGAAAUAGGUGCUAAUACCGCAUAACAACAGAAAGCGCAUGCUUUUUGUUUGAAAACCAAGGUGGUAUGGGAUGGACCCGCGUCUGAUUAGCUGGUUGGCGGGGUAAAGGCCCACCAAGGCGACGAUCAGUAGCCGGCCUGAGAGGGUGGACGGCCACAUUGGGACUGAGACACGGCCCAAACUCCUACGGGAGGCAGCAGUGGGGAAUAUUGCACAAUGGGGGAAACCCUGAUGCAGCGACGCCGCGUGAGUGAAGAAGUAAUUCGUUAUGUAAAGCUCUAUCAGCAGGGAAGAAAAUGACGGUACCUGAGUAAGAAGCCCCGGCUAACUACGUGCCAGCAGCCGCGGUAAUACGUAGGGGGCAAGCGUUAUCCGGAUUUACUGGGUGUAAAGGGAGCGUAGACGGCAGUGCAAGUCUGGAGUGAAAGGCGGGGGCUCAACCCCCGGACUGCUCUGGAAACUGUACGGCUGGAGUGCAGGAGAGGUAAGUGGAAUUCCUAGUGUAGCGGUGAAAUGCGUAGAUAUUAGGAGGAACACCAGUGGCGAAGGCGGCUUACUGGACUGUAACUGACGUUGAGGCUCGAAAGCGUGGGGAGCAAACAGGAUUAGAUACCCUGGUAGUCCACGCCGUAAACGAUGAUCACUAGGUGUCGG